rnacentral:lncRNA from 1 species
UUGUGUGGCAUUCCUACUGUGAACAGUGUCCACUCCCUUGAUGUCUGUAGUAUCACCCUUCUUGUACAUUCACAUGUAUGUGGUCAAAGAAACAACCAGUGUUUUCUAAAAGGCUUAGAGAACAUACAGAAGAUCCCCCUUCUCUUACACACUAUGAAUACAAUGUAGGCAUUUUCCGAUGUAGAGCAAUCUCGGAAGUGGGAUACAAAGAAAGCGAGUUGAGAAUAACAAAAGCAACUGACAGCCCUCACAGCACUGUUUCACCAAUGAAGAAGAAUGAGUAGAAGGAGGAAACACCAGGAGCUUCUGACUACAUCUUACUGGUGAGAAAUGUGUUGCAAGUGUCCUUACCGCAAAACAGUCUGAGAGGAAAAACUUGGCUGCACAGUCUCUACAGUAGAACAAGGAAGACAAGAGGAGAGUUGGAAAUGUUUGUUGAGUAAGCCAACCUACAACAUCUGCCAGUUUUUCUUUUAGAGAUUUAAUUUCAGACCUCAUUUCAAGAUGGUUUCUCCCUCCGCUCAUUUUCAGUAGCUGCAAAUGUACAAGAAGGAAAUUUGCUGAAAAAUAAACUCAGAUAAAGAAAUGGAUGUUUUUGGUUUUUAUAUAAAAGGAUAAGUGAUUUAGAUG